rnacentral:tRNA from 1 species
GCCUCCGUAGCCUAGUGGUUAUCACACUAGGCUUGCACGCCUAGUGUAAGGUCCCGGGUUCGAUUCCCGGCGGAGUUG